rnacentral:rRNA from 1 species
AGAGUUUGAUCAUGGCUCAGGAUAAACGCUGGCGGCGUGCUUCAGGCAUGCAAGUCGAACGGACCUUCGGGUCAGUGGCGGACGGGUGAGUAACACGUAAGUAACCUGCCCAGAAGUGUGGAAUAACUAGCCGAAAGGCUGGCUAAUACCGCAUGUGAUGGUUGUUCCCUGGAGCAAUCAUGAAAGGCGAAAGUCGCUUCUGGAGGGGCUUGCGGCCGAUUAGCUAGUUGGUGGGGUAAAGGCCUACCAAGGCUUCGAUCGGUAGCUGGUCUGAGAGGACGGACAGCCACACGGGGACUGAGAUACGGCCCCGACUCCUACGGGAGGCAGCAGCUAGGAAUCUUGGGAAUGGGCGAAAGCCUGACCCAGCAACGCCGCGUGGGCGAUGAAGGCCUUCGGGUCGUAAAGCCCUUUUGCAGGGGACGAUGAUGACGGUACCCUGCGAAUAAGCCACGGCUAACUACGUGCCAGCAGCCGCGGUAAUACGUAGGUGGCAAGCGUUGUCCGGAUUUACUGGGCGUAAAGGGCGUGCAGGCGGUUUGUUAAGUUCAGGGUGAAAGCUCCCGGCUCAACUGGGAGAGGUCCUUGGAUACUGGCAGACUUGAGGAGGGUAGAGGAGAGUGGAAUUCCCGGUGUAGUGUGAUAUGCGUAGAUAUCGGGAGGAACACCAGUGGC